rnacentral:rRNA from 1 species
GGCGGCGUGCCUAAUACAUGCAAGUUGAACGCUUGAUUUUCACCGAAGCUUGCUUCACCGAAAAUCAAGAGUAGCGAACGGGCGAGUAACGCGUGGGUAACCUACCUUUCAGCGGGGGAUAACUACUGGAAACGGUAGCUAAUACCGCAUAAUGUCGCAAGACCAAAGAGGGGGACCUUCGGGCCUCUUGCCAUCAGAUGUGCCCAGAUGGGAUUAGCUAGUAGGUGGGGUAAUGGCUCACCUAGGCGACGAUCCCUAGCUGGUCUGAGAGGAUGACCAGCCACACUGGAACUGAGACACGGUCCAGACCCCUACGGGAGGCAGCAGUGGGGAAUAUUGCGCAAUGGGCGCAAGCCUGAUGCAGCCAUGCCGCGUGUAUGAAGAAGGCCUUCGGGUUGUAAAGUACUUUCAGCGAGGAGGAAGGCGUUAAGGUUAAUAACCUUAGUGAUUGACGUUACUCGCAGAAGAAGCACCGGCUAACUCCGUGCCAGCAGCCGCGGUAAUACGGAGGGUGCAAGCGUUAAUCGGAAUUACUGGGCGUAAAGCGCACGCAGGAGGUCUGUCAAGUCGGAUGUGAAAUCCCCGGGCUCAACCUGGGAACUGCAUUCGAAACUGACAGGCUAGAGUCUUGUAGAGGGGGGUAGAAUUCCAGGUGUAGCGGUGAAAUGCGUAGAGAUCUGGAGGAAUACCGGUGGCGAAGGCGGCCCCCUGGACAAAGACUGACGCUCA